CCAAAGGCUCUUUUAAGAGCCAUUCCCAUUGCAAUAAGAGAAUUCU
rfam:Salmo salar isolate Sally breed double haploid chromosome ssa10, whole genome shotgun sequence.